CUGCUCCUCCUCUUCAUUCCUCCUCUUCCUCCUCCUCUGUAUUUGGUUUUGUUAACAGAUCACUCAUACACACAGUAACUAGUAGCAGUAGUCGUAGCUUUUGGUUUCGGGUUACUUUUGGUUUUUUGGUCUGCUGCUUCAAGUGCACCUCCUCCUGCUCCUCUUCCUCGUUCUUCUUGUGUGUGUGUGUGUGUGUUUUUUUACACCCCCUCCAGCUCCUGUGUCUUCUUCU